rnacentral:rRNA from 1 species
AUUGAACGCUGGCGGCAGGCCUAACACAUGCAAGUCGAACGAGUGGCGGACGGGUGAGGAAUGCCUGGGAAACUGCCUGGUCGAGGGGGAUAACUACUGGAAACGGUAGCUAAUACCGCAUACGAUCAGAUGUGCCGAGAUGGGAUUAGCUUGUUGGUGGGGUAACGGCCCACCAAGGCGACGAUCCCUAGCUGGUCUGAGAGGAUGACCAGCCACACUGGAACGGAGACACGGUCCAGACUCCUACGGGAGGCAGCAGUGGGGAAUAUUGCACAAUGGGCGCAAGCCUGAUGCAGCCAUGCCGCGUGUGUGAAGAAGGCCUUCGGGUUGUAAAGUACUUUUAGCGGGGAGGCGUUACCCGCAGAAGAAGCACCGGCUAACUUCGUGCCAGCCGCCGCGGUAAUAC